rnacentral:rRNA from 1 species
GAUGAACGCUAGCGGCAGGCUUAAUACAUGCAAGUCGAGGGGCAGCAGCUCUGUAGCAAUACAGAGGCUGGCGACCGGCAAACGGGUGCGGAACACGUACGCAACUUACCCAUAACUGGUGAAUAGCCCUCCGAAAGGAGGAUUAAUACAUCGUAACAUAAUGAUCCCGCAUGGGAUUAUUAUUAUAGCUCCGGCGGUUAUGGAUGGGCGUGCGGCUGAUUAGGUAGUUGGCGGAGUAAUAGCCCACCAAGCCUACGAUCAGUAACUGGUGUGAGAGCACGACCAGUCACACGGGCACUGAGACACGGCCCGACUCCUACGGAGGCAGCAGUAAGGAAUAUUGGUCAAUGGACGCAAGUCUGAACCAGCCAUGCCGCGUGAAGGAUGAAGGUCCUCUGGAUUGUAAACUUCUUUUAUAUGGG